AGCGAACGCUGGCGGCAGGCUUAAUACAUGCAAGUCGAGGGGUAGCAAGAUUGUAGCAAUACAAUUGUUGACGACCGGCAAACGGGUGCGGAACACGUACACAACCUUCCUACAAGUGGGGAAUAGCCCAGAGAAAUUUGGAUUAAUACCCCGUAACAUAGCGAUGUGGCAUCACAUUGCUAUUAUAGCUUCGGCGCUUGUUGAUGGGUGUGCGGCUGAUUAGAUAGUUGGCGGGGUAACGGCCCACCAAGUCUACUAUCAGUAGCUGAUGUGCGCGCAUGUUCAGCCACAAGGGACCUGGGACACGGGCCCGACUACUACGGGAGGCAGCAGUAAGGAAUAUUGGACAAUGGACGUAAGUCUGAUCCAGCCAUGCCGCGUGAAGGAUUAAGGUCCUCUGGAUUGUAAACUUCUUUUAUAAGGGACGAAAAAAGGUCUUUCUUGAUCGUCUGACGGUACCUUAUGAAUAAGCACCGGCUAACUCCGUGCCAGCAGCCGCCGUAAUAC
rnacentral:rRNA from 1 species